ACGGGGUGCAGCAGGCGCGAAAACUUUACACUGCACGACAGUGCGAUAAGGGAACCCCAAGUGCGAGGGCAUACAGUCCUCGCUUUUCUGUACCGUAAGGAGGUACAAGAAUAAGGGCUGGGCAAGACCGGUGCCAGCCGCCGCGGUAAUACCGGCAGCUCAAGUGAUGACCGCUAUUAUUGGGCCUAAAGCGUCCGUAGCUGGCCGCACAGGUCCGUUGGGAAAUCUGCUCGCUUAACGAGCAGGCGUCCAACGGAAACCGUGCGGCUUGGGACCGGGAGGUCUGGAGGGUACGUCCGGGGUAGGAGUGAAAUCCUGUAAUCCUAGACGGACCACCGAUGGCGAAAGCACUCCAGAAGAACGGAUCCGACAGUGAGGGACGAAAGCUAGGGUCUCGAACCGGAUUAGAUACCCGGGUAGUCCUAGCUGUAAACGAUGCUCGCUAGGUGUGACACUGGCUACGAGCCAGUGUUGUGCCGUAGGGAAGCCGUGAAGCGAGCCGCCUGGGAAGUACGUCCGCAAGGAUGAAACUUAAAGGAAUUGGCGGGGGAGCAC
rnacentral:rRNA from 1 species